rnacentral:rRNA from 1 species
UACGUAGGGGGCGAGCGUUGUCCGGAAUCAUUGGGCGUAAAGCGCGUGUAGGCGGCCCGGUAAGUCCGCUGUGAAAGUCCAGGGCUCAACCCUGGGAUGCCGGUGGAUACUGUCGGGCUCGAGUCCGGAAGAGGCGAGUGGAAUUCCUGGUGUAGCGGUGAAAUGCGCAGAUAUCAGGAGGAACACCAACGGCGAAGGCAGCUCGCUGGGACGGUACUGACGCUGAGACGCGAAAGCGUGGGGAGCGAACAGG